GGAUCUUUGGUGCUGAUGGUAUUAGCUGUUGGACGCAAAGUAAUUAAAUAAUGUGGUAGAGACAGUAUUGAUAGAAGAUAAUAUAACAUCAGAAAAGCCGUCAGUAUCCAGGAAAUGUGAAAUAUUGUUCGAAGCAAGCACACAACAGUUUCUUACUUAUCGACAAAUGUAAACAUAUAUCAUUGACAUCCACUGUACAUUUUGCGUAAUGACAAACGUAAACAUCUGAGUGAAUGCCCAAACGCACACAAGGGUAUUUGAAAUAUAGGAGGUAACGUUGGUUACAGAAAACUCGGAUCAUUUGGGCUGUCAUAUUAGGAUGGAAGUCACACAUCUUGGAGAUUUGCAAUAAGUGAACACUGUUUUGAGCUGAAGUAGCAAAAUGCAACUUUGUUAACAUGUGGAAUUGUCAUUUUCAGUGACAAGAGUUUAAAAAAUGAAAGAAAUUAAGAAUCUAUUAGAGAAAAGUGAAAACAUCCCUGCAUGGAAUUUAUCAGUUUAAAUGAUUAUGAUUCAUUACUUGAAGAUAGUGGUCUAUCAGAUACUGUAGUACCAAAUGAUGUACAGCCAAAUACUACUGCACUGUACAACUGAGGACUGUGACAGUGUAAUGAAGCAGAACAUUAAGUGAAUUUAAUAAAAAAGGCAUGUAAAGGG